UAGAUGAUAGACUCCAUUUAAUUAUACCACACUGAUUGAUUUAUAAACUGAGACAAAAGUGGUUUGAAGUCCGGAAAGCAUGGCCAAAAGCGAAAAGAAAUAUUGACAGAAGUAAAAACUAAACUAUUUCAGUUUAUUUGUCAUGGUAAUUACAUGUUUUGCGGUUCCACUUGCUCUAGUUUUACAUGGAAAAUCGGAGGCAAGACAUCUAAAGAAGAUCUCAGGAUUCUCAAAUUAGGAGGCCGCGACAAUGUGCUAGAAAAUGACUGGAUGAAGAAGUUUAAUCAUGAGAAAAAGCGUGUGAUCGUUGGCAAGAAGAGUAACAAGGUGGUGUUGCAGGCUAUUCUUGAAGGUGGGCAACUCAAUAUUUUAGUGGAAGCACAAUGGGUAAGCUGUUAAGAAAGAGUCAAACUAUCAUAGCUCAUCUAUUCAAGAUUGAAGUUGGGGAUAAUUAGGGGCUGUGUAAAUUACAGGGAGUUGAAUGAGAUUACUAUCAAAGACAAAUACCCUAUUCCCAUUGUGGAUAUUUGCUAGAUGAGUUACUAGGUUUAGUGAUCUUUUCCAAGGUAGACUUAAGGGCUGGAUACCACCAAAGCAGAAUGAAGAUUGAGGAUGUGCAUAAGACUGCUUUCAGAACCCACAUGGGCCGCUACAAGUUCGAGGUUAGCCUGCACCUGCCACCUUCCAGACAUUGGUGAAUGAAGUAUCCCAAUCACUACUAAGAAAAUUUGUUUUGGUACAUUUUGAUGACAUACUUGCGUAUAGUAAGCCCCUGGAGGAACAUAUAGACCACUUGAGAAGAGUGUUUGACAUUUUGAUGGAGUAGGCUCUUUUUGCCAAACAGUCAAAGUGCUCAAUUGGCCGGCAAGGGUAGAGUAUCUGGGGCAUGUUAUCACUGUUGAGAGGGUUUCCACGGACCCUAGCAACAAGGUGGACUGUCGUAGGCCUACCACAAUGAAAGUUCUCAAGGCUUUCUUGGUUUAACUAGUUAUUACACGAAGUAUGUGCUGGAUUAUGGUGGCAUCUGCAGACAACUGACUGAACUACUCAGGAUGGACUCGAGAUUGAUGUCAACUGUUGCAAAGUUUGUCCAAAAGAGUUGAAGAAAGUUUCAACACAGGUCGAAGAAUACACAAAAGACAUGGAUCCAUUCACGACCGUGUAACUAAAGAAGCGAGAGAGGAAGUCUCUUCUACACUUGUGGCAGCAGCCACAUCUUUACCAUGGACUAUAUGGCAGAGAAGCUAGUAACCCACCUUAUCAUAUGAGUAUGUGUUUGCACCGGAGUAUGGUUUUCAUCCGCCAACUUUGCCCAUGUCAGGGAUGAAUCACCCAACAAGUUACCUCAACAAUGAACAUUGUGUGGCUGGGAGCUGUACUAAGCUGGGUGCAUACUCUGGUCACAUUUUAUUUUCGCGUUCUAAGGAUUGUUUAUUACCGGACUACUGAAAAGUCUAAUACUUACAUGACUGCUA